UUAGCAAUGCUGGUAGGGGGAAUGCAUGAUCUCUCCCUAUCUAGUUUUAUGAUUUUUAUUUUUUGUGUAAAUGUGAAGACACAAUAUUUAGCCAUUAUGGCUUAGUAGUCUUCACAUUUUUAUUUCAUUUAUGCAAAUAAUACAUCUUAGGCUCACAUGUUUAUUUUCGCUACUUCCAAAAUCUUGUGGCUUUAAUUUCAAAGUGUACUGGUUAUGGUUGUAUGAAUAAAGUUUUAAUUCGUGUUGUUUUUCAAUGUUUUUUGCAUCUAUGAUUAAUCAACAAUGGCUACUUCUUGUAUUGCAAAUAAAUGAAAAAUAAUUAUUUUAUUUAAAUUUAAAUUCAUAAGCUAUCAAGAGACUCAUUUCGUAGGAUAAUGACUGUAGCAUUCAUUUUGGUUAUGAUUUACAUAUAUAUGCUACAAUUUGUACACUGUAUUUUUUGAUACUUAUCUUUAUUAAGAAUAAAAUAUAAAUUAUAAAUAACUUACAAUUCUAAAACAUCCGUCAAAAACAAAAACCAUUCCCACUUUUUUCUUUUUUGUCGCGAGAAUAUUUCUUCUUGUGAUUGUUGUCGAUUACUACCAAUACUAAUAAGGACCCCCCAAAUUAUGAAUUUAUCUUUAUUUAUUUUCUAAAAUUUACUAAUUUAUCAUAUAUAUAUAAAUAAUCAACAAAAUAAUAUGAGGAACAUUUCAGGUCUUGAUUUUUGUAUGUAUCUCUCGGGUUGUUUUUGUAUUGGUUAUGGGGUUUCUUUUUGGUUGUCCCCCUUGCCAUCGUUGCUGUUUGUUUAGCCUUGCGAUUGAUCUGGUUCCUGGGUCUUGGUCGAGGGCUUUUAGGUUUAGUGGGGUUUCCUUUUGUUCAUCGAGUUGUUCCUUUUUUGAGGCUUUACUCGCUCCCUUAAGGUUUUGUCCUUAGGGGUUUUUUGUGGAUAAUAAUACAUAAUCAUUUAUCUAUCAAAAAAAUAAUAAACAAAAUGAAAUGAAUGGAAUAAGAUUAUGAAUUAAGAGUAAAUUAGAAAAAAUAUCGCAUAGGUACCCGCAAGACAUUUGCACCUGAGAACUUUUUUAUCAAUAUAAUAAUAUUUAAAUAAUGUAUUUAUACAACAAAAAAGUUGGUGGUGAGAAAUGGGAGUUUUAGUAAUCUACUAUAAAUAUAUAAUACUAAUCCAUUAUGAAUAAAAAAAUAUGAUAGUCAUUACAAACAAUUAAAUUUGAAAUAUAAUUUUGCAUGAAUCCAUUAUAGAUAAGAUCCUUAUCCAUUAUAACCCUCAAACAAACUCAACGCAAUAGCUAUCUUCUCCAACCCAACCUCUAAUACAAUUAUUGGUUCUUAAUUAUUAUAAUUAAUUGCUAAGUUCUUUAUACACUCUGACCCUCUAGCAAACUCAAUUAUUGGUUUCCUUAGCCUCUAACACAAUUAUUGAUUUUUAAUUAUUAUAAUUAAUGACUAAGAUUAAUCUAAAUAAAAACAGGUUAUUAAAUUUAUAAAAAAUAUUUAUGCAAUUUAUUAGUGGAGUGGAUGAAGAGAAUUUGAAUUCUCAUACUACCAAGAUAUAUCAUAUUUUUUACAGCUUGAAUAUCAUAAUGACACAUGAUUAUCUAUAUCUUCUGUGAAUGGAAUGACAUUUAUGGUGAGAUUUUACACCACAAAGUGAGUUGGCAGCUAUUAGUGAAGAUCAUCACAAAUCAAACAAGGCAUGUAAACUUGACCUAUAUAUAUAUGAGACAAUUCAUGAUGAAAAACCACAACAAAUCAUUUUGAUUUUCAAUUUUAUUUCUUGUCACUUUUUUUUUCUGGCCAGCACCAUGGCCAGGAGAAAAGUGAAACGUGAAUACAUUGUCAAUGACUCUGCGAGGAAGACAACAUACAGGAAAAGGAAGAAAGGUUUGAUCAAGAAGGUGGAUGAACUAAGCACCCUUUGUGGAAUUGAAGCAUGUGCUAUAAUUUAUAGCCCCUUCGAACCUCAACCUGUGGUUUGGCCAUCCCCACCUGGGGUUCAAAAAGCGUUGGAAAGGUUGAAGACAAUGCCUGAAUUGGAGCAGAGCAAGAAGAUGGUGAACCAGGAGACUUUCACAAAACAAAUGAUCCUGAAGGCAAAAGACCAAAUGAUGAAACAAAGGAAGGAAAACAGGGAGAAAGAGAUGAACUUGCACAUGCAUAGGUGCAUCAAUGCAGGGAAGGUUCAACCCAACAUGAACAUGAAUGAUCUGAAUGAUCUUGCAUGGGUGAUUGAUCAAAAUUUGAAGGAGGUCGACCGAGCGUUGGAAAAAAUGAAUAAGACUGUGAUCCACCAGGGUCAAUCUUCAGUCUUAGUCGGUGAAAGUUCAAUCCAACCCCAAAUGGCGCUAGCACCAGCACUUGCAGUAGCCAGGAAUGUAGAAAUGGCCAUGGUGAAUGAUGCCCAUGGGCUGGUCACGGAUAAUUUUGACGCCAUGCAGAGGCAAUGGUAUAUGAAUUUGAUCAAUGAUAAUUAUGGGAAUGAGACAGUGCCAUUAUUUGGAGAUGCUAAUCUCCAAAAUGGAUUAUUUUGGCCCCACCCAUAACCUUGAGAAAAUUAUGAUGUGCCUCUUAGCAAUGCUUGUAGGGGGCAUGCAUAAACUCUCCCAAUCCAGUUUUAUGAUUUUUUUUUACUGUUUUUGCUGUAUAAAUGUGAAGACACAAAAUUAAGCGAUUAUGACCUAGUAGUCUUCACAUUUUUUUUCAUUUAUGCAAAUAAUACAUCAUGUGUAGCUUAGGCUCACAUGUUUAUUUCCGCUACUUCAAAAAUCUUGUGGCUUUAAUUUCAAAGUGUACUGGUUUUGGU
rnacentral:lncRNA from 1 species